ACCUAUGGCCAUACCAGUCUGAAAGUGCCUGAUCUCGUCAGAUCUCAGAAGCCAUCCAGACUCGGGCCUGGUUAGUAUUUGAAUGGGGGACCAACUAGGAACCUCAGGUGCCAUAACUG
rnacentral:rRNA from 1 species